rnacentral:lncRNA from 1 species
UGCAGACUCUUAUUUUUUACAAAAGACAUUUUCACUUAUGUUUAAUCCAAAGUAUGCCUAUAGUAUUUAGCCUAGGUCUAUUGGGUUACAGCCUUCUAUACAAGCACUGGCCUAUGCUCCUCUUUUUGAAUAAUGGUUUCACCCAGUGCCAACUGUGCAUGUGCUUCUAUAUAUCAAUGUAUCUGGAACGAACUAUAUACUCGUGUGCUGUGUGUGCUAUACACAUCUUUCUGUCUUGCCUUCAGUUGUGAUUGUUUACUGCUUCCAGCUACAUCGUGUUCAGUCAUCCUGGCUGCAUCUGCUACACUCCACUUUCGCUGCUUGAUUUUAACAACUAAACAUAAAAUACCAUUAAAUUCUUUUAAAAAGUAUUUUACCCAGCUCUGAUC